UCUGGGGAAGCAGGGCAGAAGAUAGGGAGCUCCUAAAGGCCGGGAUCAGUCCCCCUGCAAGUAAGGCCAAGAGAGAGAGAGGUGUCUGGCUCUGCGUUCACUUCUUAUAGCCUCUCAGAGCCCCACUGGGAUGUAGACCCGCAGAGCUUCUGAAAAUGAUUCACUAGUACUGAGAGGUUUUCUAGAUGCACAAAGUGAAGUGCUCUCACUUCAUCCUCCUGAGGACUAGAAUCAAGCUGAAUUGCCAUUUAGAAGACUCAUCUGGCUAUUGAGGAGUCUCUAAUGGAAGACUUUGGAGUCCUGAAUCUGGGAGGCCAUACAGAUGAAGGGCAGCAGGCAGAUGCAAGACUGCUCGGGGCUGGGACUCUCGGGAUCGCAUGACAGCUGAGAGGUACCACAUUCUGAUGACCCCACAGGGACCUUUUUAAAAAGACAAGUGAUGGGCACCUCGGUGGCUCAGUCUCUGGGCGUCUGUCUUC